GACGAACCGAGCGAACGUUGUUCGGAAUCACUGGGCUUAAAGGGCGCGUAGGCGGGCUGUCAAGUCUGGGGUGAAAUCCCGCGGCUCAACCGCGGAACUGCCUCGGAUACUGACGGUCUCGAGGGGGGUAGGGGCGAGCGGAACUGAUGGUGGAGCGGUGAAAUGCGUUGAUAUCAUCAGGAACUCCGGUGGCGAAGGCGGCUCGCUGGACCUCUUCUGACGCUGAGGCGCGAAAGCUAGGGGAGCAAACGGG
rnacentral:rRNA from 1 species